rnacentral:rRNA from 1 species
UACGGAGGAGGCAAGCGUUAUCCGGAAUUAUUGGGCGUAAAGCGUCCGUAGGUGGCACUUCAAGUCUGCGGUCAAAGACCGGGGCUUAACCCUGGAAAGGCCGUGGAAACUGAAGUGCUAGAGUGCAGUAGGGGUAGAGGGAAUUCCCGGUGUAGCGGUGAAAUGCGUAGAGCUCGGGAAGAACAUCGGUGGCGAAAGCGCUCUACUGGACCGCAACUGACACUGAGGGACGAAAGCUAGGGGAGCGAAUGGG